rnacentral:ncRNA from 1 species
UUAUUUGUGAUGACGGGGUAAAGUAAACGGAACGAUCUUUUCAGGGAGGCGGCGUCAUAGACUGAAAGCGCUGCUAUGGUAUCAACCGUUGAAGGUUCACCUCUGAGCUACCAAACUGAAACCUUAUGGAAAGUAGGCUUGGUCGGAGACUUCCACCGUUAAAAGGAAGAGGGUAUAAGGAAUAGAUAUUCUAUGAAUAUUAUUAUUCCCGUACUUAAAUGAGGAGGGGUCUUUUUAUAGACUCAAUCUGGGUGGUACCGCGAAAUGCACUUUUCGUCCCUUUA